CGUAGGGUGCAAGCGUUAAUCGGAAUUACUGGGCGUAAAGCGUGCGCAGGCGGUUUUGUAAGUCUGUUGUGAAAUCCCCGGGCUUAACCUGGGAAUGGCAAUGGAGACUGCAAGGCUAGAGUUUGGCAGAGGGGGUAGAAUUCCACGUGUAGCAGUGAAAUGCGUAGAGAUGUGGAGGAACACCGAUGGCGAAGGCAGCCCCCUGGGUCAAGACUGACGCUCAUGCACGAAAGCGUGGGGGAGCAAACAGGAUU
rnacentral:rRNA from 1 species